AUGACGUCAUCUAUUUUAAUCUAAAAUUACUCAUAAUUAAACAAUAAUAAUAAAUAGUUAUAAUAAAGCAGAGAUUUUGUUGUAUAUAUCACGUGUGCAUAAAAUUAUUAUUGAAUUCAUUCUUAAUCGAAUAUAUAAAUUAGUUUUUCUAUGGUCGGUGAAAUCGGUAAGGCAGUCUGAAUAAUGUUUUAUCAAUUUUGAUAAUUGUACCAUAAACGUGUGAUUACAAAUAGACAAAAUUUGUAAUAUUUUCUGCUUCUAUUUCUUAGACAGUAAAUUAUAUUCAACAUGAAAAAUCCAUUACAAAAACUAGUAUCUUUCAUAGGAUAUUGGUAUUUUCGAUACAUGCUUGUUACAGAAUUAUAUAUGGUUGAACAAUGGGAAAGAAUUUUCAUUCAUGUUUUAUUUACAGUGUUAUUCUUUACAGUAUUUAUUUUUAAUUAUAAGAUAUUACUUCCAAUUACUCAAGUACUAAAUUUAUUAUGAAUUCUAGAACGAAUAUGUAAUUAUAGUUUUAUUGUCUUUCCUUGUCUUUUUAUUCAUUUUAUUCUUUGUAAAGAUAACGUUAUUAAAUUGUUUCAGUUAUUCUAAUAAAAAUGGUGUGAUUUAUAAAAUAAUUUAAAUUUUAAUCGUACAGCUUGAUAAUUUCUUCAAUAUGAUAUAUAUACAUCUACAAUUACAUUAUAAUUUUUUUAAAUGUAUUACCAAGAAUUACAUUUAAUUAAUGUAAUGUUGUAGAAUGUAAUGUUAAAGAAUGUAAUUUUGUCAGAUACAUUAUUAUAUUUUAUAUUUCGUUCUUUGUAAAAAGAAACUUUAUCAUUGAUUUAUAUAUGCAUAUAUUGGUAUUAAUAUUAUAAUACAAACUGCAAAGAAAUAAUAAAUUUACUAA